UCUUUGCUGGACAGGCACCUCUCUAUCCAAGUGCACUGACUAGCUAGCAGCUACAUGCUAGGUUGUUUUUGUCAGAGCUUGAACCUGCUUUGUCUCCUCUGAUGAAAAAUUAGUCAUAGCUGCUGUUUGGGAAGGUAGAGAAUUUGUACUGAAUCUUCUAUAGAAUAUACUAUAUUAAGUAUUUUAAUGGCUUCAUCUGAGUUCAAAAAAAAAAUGAAAACCAUUGUGAUACUGGAGGAAAAUAGGAUCUGUACAAUAACCUGGAACAGGAAACAGGAUGACGUGAGGCUGUCAUCAACCUUAGGUGUACCUGAGCUGGUUUAAAUCUACUUGGAAUGGGCUAUUCAUGUAACAUCAAGAGUUCAGUGCCUGCUAUUAACUAUUUGCACAUUUUCACUGGACGCAUACUACGCACAUGCCAAGCUCUAAAUUUUCUUGCCUGCAUGGUCACCUGAGCCCAAAAUAGCUAGAGGACUUGAGCUGCAGUGAUGCCUCUUAACUGAUCCUCAGGGUUACAUGUAAUACAUGUUUCUGUUCUAAUUUAGCAUUUCACUACCUUUAUUUUCAAGCUCUUCCAACUGCUGAUAUUGAGUUGAUAACAAGAGUAUAUGGUGGAAAAUAUUUCAUGCUCAGAUCUAAUUUAAACAAACAAACAAAAAACAGUCAUUUAUGAGAUUGUAGAGCAAAGUAGCUAAAAGCUUUUCUGGGGUGUUGGGUGUAGAAGCUAUUAGUAAAAGUUCCUGUAGGACAGAAGUGAAUGUGGAUUUACAAGUGUUUCCUUUAUUUGAAUGUGUUAAGUUGACUGCAGGGUAUAUUUGAGAGUUGAGGAGUGGGGAAACAGUAUUUGGGGAAAACAAAAAAAAAACAAACAAACAAAAAAACAACAAACAAACAAACAAAAAAACGUUAAGCCCUGAUUUACUUUCAAACCUGAGUGUGGGAGCCUUGAACUCCUGCAUUACAGGGGACACAGCAGCACCAAUUGCAGGAAGCCAGGAGUGAAAGACCAGGGUUUGUUUUACCAGUACUGCAGAAUUUUGCAUCCAUUAUAGACAAAUAAUAAAGUCCUAGGUGAAAAUUGCCUUUAAAAACAGACAUGACACAAAUUGCACCAGGUACUUCUAUAUAAUCUUUGUUUCUUAAGGCCAGUGAAAUGAAAGGACAUUACUUUCAUAGCCUAUUUAUUGUCCCUGUACUGAGAUCUUGGCUGUAGUAAAAAUACUUUUUAAUAUAAGUUCUAAAUUGCAGGGAGUUGGAAAAAUAACUGAUAGCAGUACCUGUUGUGUGGUGUUACGUAUUAGUGUACAUUACUGUCAAAGCACUUUUCCUGGAUUGUAUGGGUCACGUUAUAGAAGAGUGACUUAAGUUGAAAGAUGCAGAUUAGGUAGCUGGAGCAUGCUGAGAAAACUGGCAAAAGUCAUGAGCAGAUAAGCCAGUGGCAUGCUGCAGUAUGCAUCCAUAAUUUGUGGGAGCAUAAGAUUUUAAUUCAUACCAGGCUUCUCUGGAGAUGAAAGACCAUUGUGGGAUCACUGAAUGCCCAAAGUUUCUCCUUAAUGUGUAGCAGAUGAAUAACAAGGAGACAAAAGGAAUUGAUUUUCAGCAUCUGAAAGUUUCUCAGGAAGAAAGGGACCAGGAGAAGUAUAUGUACCCUUUAAGUAUUAACUGUUCCAUUGCAGAUUAAAUGAGACAUAAAUUCAAUUUAUUGGCAUUUUGUAUCUGAGAUAUUCAAGGACAUUUUUCGUACACUGUGUUCAUAGAAAGGACAUUUGUCUGACUUAGCAUCAUUAAAGAGCUAUCAUUUUAUGUGUGUAUAUAUACAAGAGAUUCCCAUUAUUAAAACCAAAAUUCCAAAGGUAAAUGCCUCAGAGGAAACUGCAAAUUAGAUCUAUUUAGUGAACUGAUGUAGUGGAGGCAGGACAGAUAAAGGCCUUAUGUGUCAGUGCAUACAGCCCAUUCUUCUACAAGUAAAUGCAUAUCCAGACUCAUUUGUGUGCUGUAAUUCACUCCUGAGCCGUCAUAGCUCUGGAAAAGGUUGUAUGACAACAGACAUCUUAACUUCAUCUUCAGAAGAAUUGCUUAUGAGGUUGUUCACUUCUUGGAACCAGAACUUUAAAAAAAGGGCAAAUAAUUCUUUUAAUUUCGUGCUAAUGAAGUAUGACUCAUAGGGUUACAGAUAUUCUUAGAGCUGUUCAUAGUUGAGAAGGAUACUAGCCUUGUGGACCUAGACAAAACUACAUACUUAGGACCUAUAUAGUGGCCUAGUCCUGCAGCUUUCACUCUGGUGGCCAUAAGUGACACAUCAGGGUGGCUGUUCUGAGAAGUAAAAUGCAGGUUUUAAUAGACCUCGGUGUUAACAGGUGCCUACUUAAUUCUGAAGGUAGAUGACAAGGAUACCUGAUAGCUAAAUGUGUCCAAUUAUGCCAAACUCCAACCAAGUAGAUCAGCUACCUGUUGACUUAAGCUGUCUUUAUUUUUUAUUUUAUUUUUAUUUUAUUUUAUUUUAUUUUUGAUAACACGUGGAAAAAUGGACCAGUCUUUCCCAUCAUCUUCGAGGACAGGAGAUCAGUUAGUUAGUGUUUGAGAAGUGUCUCUUUGGAGAUGAGACCCUGAGUUUACUGGGGCUGAGGAAUAGAACUUCACAUUUACUUUGGUGUGCAUUAUCUUUUGAUCUCUCUGUGAAUAUUCCUUUUCAUUUGUCUGUGUUGUAAGUCUCCAUAAAUCUUUCUUUUUACAAAGCUAUUUACAACUUUCAGCUGUACUCCUCUGUAAAUAUGUAUUUUCAGGACUAGAAUAGCUUCAAGAAUGAGGGCACCGUAAUAGCAGCUCCUGAAGUCUUAGAAGCAUAGAAGAAGGUAGAGCACCACUCCUUAUUUCCUAUCCUUGGUGAGAUAUUACACCAAAGCCUGCAAGAGAGCUUAGUAUAGGCUGCUAUACAACCUCUGUGCAGUUCCUGACAGCAUAUUUCUCCCACGGGUGUCAUUUGUUCUUUUGGCUGUGGAAACUAUGGAUGGAGAUGGGAAUUUGGCACCACAUUUCUAAUGUUUCUGAUAUAAAUUUCAUCUGCUACGGCCACUCCCUGUCUGUUGGCAAGUUUUCUCCCUUCCAGCUCUUCAUUUGUUAUUUAGUAAAAUGCAGCCUGGACCUAGCUGAGGCUUCUUGGAGCUGCUUUGGUCUGACUUUGGACCAUAAUUUCUAUUGCAGUCUUUUCUGGAGCCCAAAACAGUAUCUGGGCCUAAGACUCUAGAUUUUUGUAAUUAUUGUUUUUUUUAAGAUAAUGUGUAGUGUCCUCUUCCAAGACCUCUCAGAGGUUUCACAUAGAGAAGUAUGUGUGUGUGUGUGUAUUUGGAACCAGAAAAAGUGGCCUCCAUGACUGAAAAAAAAAUAAAAAUAAAAAUAAAAUAAAAUAAAAAAAAAAACAACCAAACAAAAAAAAUUGCAAAAAUUGCAGUUGACAUGUGGAGCUGACCAGAGCAAGCUCGCCAGAUUUUACUGGCCUCAGUGUCUGUACAUUUACUUUUUGAAGAUUUCCACAGCUUCUCAGCAUAAGCUCUUGCAACUGACUACAGCGUUUUCAUUAUUUUCUGUUAUCACAACAAGAGAUUGGUUGAGGACCAGUGUACAGAGCACACUGUUGUUGGAAAGCAAAAGAACAAGAGAAGGCCUACCUGUCAGCAUAACUGUUCCUGAACCACAAAUUAUUUCUUUACCAGUUUCUUACAGUUGCUUGACAAAAGAUGACCCAUUCAUCAGUAGUUGACUUGGCUAAGUACAGAAACAUGUGUGAGCAGCCUACUCUUUAAUGACUGCUGUGCUUGCUUUGGCUGCAAUGUACUGUUGUGCAAAUCAAUUUUAAUAGUAAGGGUGAACAGCUUAGCAAAGAGACUGGCUGCCCAGAUUGUAGGGGGGAGGGCAGGGGGAGAAUUAAAACAUCUGUCUUUCUGCUCUGGUGUAAAAUGCCACUGAAAAAUCUGACAGUCAGUGUUCUUCCUCACUUUUAGUAGGGUGGGGGCUGGGGACAGCAAAGGAGCACAAAUGUUUCGUUUCUCUCUACUUAAAGCAGAUGCUGACAUCUGCUCAGAUAAAACAAGUAUGUAACUGGUCCAACACUGCUUUUAAGAGAUGUGUAAUGUUAAGGCUUGUUUACAUUGCAGCAGCUUAUGUUGUAUGUGAACAUCACACUUACCUGACAUUUUGAAGACAGCUGGGCUCAAUCUCUGCUGACCAGUCCAUUGAGACCAGGACUGUGCCAGCAAACCUGACUCUGAGCAUCAGAUGCUGUGAUAUAGGCAAGCUCCAUUUUCUGGGCUGACAUUGAAUUUAUGCAUGUCAGCUAAUGUUUACUUUUUUAUUUUUUUUGGCUGGGCAUCUCUUAGAAAGCAGCAGUUCAUUCUCUGCACUGGCGGGUAGUACAGAGGCACCAGAGCCAUGGGUUUGGCACAGGAUCAGUCUAGAUGUGAUGUGAACACAGGCACUGCCCCAGGCUGCUAAGCUAAGCCUGUCUAGCCAGUUUGCCACAUCCCUUCAAUAUGAUUCUCCACACUUGUGUUUUCAGGAUGCAGCUUCUCCAUGCUAGCUUGUAUGAACACAGGUAUACUUCACACAAUAAACAGUAGCUUGGGUAAGCCUUGACUGUUCAGUGAUAGGGCUAACUUUAUUAGAAAUAUCUAAACUUUGAAUGUCUUCGUGAGGAGUACUGCAUUUAGAAGUACCAUGGGAAUUUCCAAAGACUGUGUUUCCCCUUCUAAAAGGUCUUUGAUAGAAUCAGUCCUCAUUUACGCCACUGUAGUUUUAGUGAUCUCUAGAUUCUUUCUCUACUGGUUAGCAGUGAUUGAGUGCUGAAUGUCGUGGGCCUUGCAGAACCUGGAAAAAUCCCUGCUUCCUUUCCUGGUAAACUGUGGAAAACCAGAAUUUGUCAAAAAUGACAAAGCAGUGUUUGAUACUGUAUUGUGGCAUUUCAGAGUUCAUAAUCUCUUAGACACGUCAAGGUCCUCAAGGUCCUAUAUUUUUCCCCUUUCUUUCUUUAAACCAGCUCUACUCUGAGUCUCAGAUGGAGGUGUCAGAGAAAAGCAAAUGCCCAACUGUGGUUAAGUGUUUCAGAGAUUAAAGUGAUGGGAUGGGCAAAAUUAUUGACAAAUAUGUGUCCUGGUACUGGAGACCACAGAAAUGGAGAGCAUUUGUUUUGAGAAUUUUCAUGAUGGCAAACAGAAGUUUCUGAGUUCUGUUGUUUGAAGAUGGAAGCUUAAGUGGAUGAGAAUUAAGAGUCUGACCUAAGAUAAGGCUUUGACCUAAGACUGAUGUUCCUUGUCAGUUGAAAGAAGAGGAUGAAAUAUGAUCGGUGGCAUAGAUUCGGAGUGAGAUUCCCAUCUGGUGUAAUUUAGCCCAAUUUCAUUGAAUUAAUCCAUUUUCAGGGUAGUGAAGUUAAAUUGAAUUAUGUAGUCUGAGAAUCUGGCCUUUUGUAUAACCUCACUGUUUCACAGGAAAAUCAAUGCAGAGUUAAACUAUAAUCCAGUUCUCAUAGUUUUAGCUACAUCUGGAACUCUAUAAAACACAAGCUGGAAGUGCAGUAAGUCUCUCCCCAAAGACAGAGAAAAUAGACAGGAAAGGCUUUGAGAGAUCCACUACUCUUUUUCCCAGUGCAUGAUCAGCUGUAGCUGUGUUGUAACUGUAAUAUCCCUGUUUUGUCUGUGUUUUAGUGAUGAAGAUUCCCCGGUGCCUGUGGGGAAUUUGUUCUAUCCUUAAAAAUUUUUCAUAACAUCUCUUUCCAAUUUCUCCUACAGUUGUUUUAUCUCAUUGUUUUUCCUGUUAAUUCAUGUAGAUAUGGUCAUUGUCUGUCUCACUGCAGUAGCCUCUGAGAUGUUUGGAUGCUACUGUAACCUCUUAGGCUGCCAUCUCUCCUUAGGUUUAACAAUCUCAGUUCAUUCAGUCUCUUCUCAUAGUUUGUGUUUGUCUGAUCCCUGAUUAUUCUGGCUGCCUUUCUUGUGUCUUAUUUGUCAUAUUUUAUUUGCAGUAUUUGAAGUGCAUCAUCCCAGUAUGGACAGUAUUCCAGGCUGGGCUUUGCCAGCGCUGGGAGGUAGUCACUCAGGUGUCAAGCUGUCCAUAGUCCCCUUCAUAUGUCAUGGUAUAUGUGUUUGCCACCUUGUCACCAACAUGACAUUGUGGUCCUCUGUUAUCUGAGAUGCUGUGUAUGCAGUUAGCCUCUGUGAUCCAUUUCCUCCUUGCUUCUGGCUCAUACAGAAAUACCUGCUUAGGCCUUAUACCAACCUCUCAAACUUCCCAGGAGAGAAGAUGUCUUGAGCAUGGUCAAUCCCAUAGUGAGCUCAGCUCUGUCCACAAUGUCUAGAUCAGUGGAGAACAUGUGAGCAGGGGUUUACCAAGUACAGCCCAGUACAUUAACCAGCAUCUUGAGCUUGUUUUUUCUUCAGUAGAAUGUGGAUUCUGAAGCUAUCCUCCAGCAACGUGAACAGAAAACAUGCAUUGCCAAAGCUUACAGUUCUUGAUCCCUAUCUCUACUACUGUUUUUCACUGCUUAUACAUGGAAAGGAGCAGCCAGUGGUAACAGUGGUGAGGACUGUGUAGGACAGAGAGUUCAGUGUGUCAAAUCCAGCUGCUAUUGUACAAGCUCCUCAUGGCACAUGUGCUUGUUUAUGCUAAUUUACACCGUAUAGUAAUUCUUAAAUGAAAUAAUUUGUUGCAUAAAUGUGAACUGUAAAAUUUAUUUUGAAAUUCUUGCAUUUUAUAUCCUUUUAUUCCCACAAUUAUAUUAAAGCUGUAAUGACCUGUUAAAUUAUAAAUAAUAUGUACAGUGGACAAAAUCACGUACUAGACAAUGUAGGACACAUUAAGUAAAUCAUGUAAGGAGCCAGCUUAGAGCUUUGUCACUUCAUUAAAAUCUUGCACUUAUUUAUCACUUUUCAUGUUCUGUACAGGCUGAUAGUUAACUGAUGACUAUUCAAAUUAAAAAGCUGGACCUGUAAUGUUAAAAUUUAAAUGUCUGUUUUCCGACAUUAAUACAGGCAUUACGGUAAGAAAUCAAAAUACUGUAUGGUGGCUCUGGUCAGGGCUAGAAGUCAGUUCUGUCUGUGCAGAUGUGCCCUCCCCAAUAAGGGAAGCAAAAUGAGGAUGCUUCAGAAAUUGGCCUGUAUUAACUAAAUAGAUUUUUGAAUAGAGAAAGUUUGUCAUCCCUAUAAUAAACUAGAGCAUGCACUUCAGUGGUGCACUAGGAUCUCCAUAAGGGAGGGAUUCCUGCCCCUGGGCAGGUGCUGGUUGACUUCAGCAUUUUUCCAUGUGAGGAAACGUGCCUUUUCAGAAACAUCUGCAUGGGGAGGUUUUGUACAUGUGUAUUUGUUUUCAGAUUAGGGGAUUAAGGGAAAUAUAGACCAAGCCCAGGGAUGGCAAUUUAGCUGGAAACAAAUAGCUAGAAGGUCAGCAAGCAUGGUGGUAGGUAGAAAUCCUGUGCAAACACAGUUGGAGAAGUCACUCCAUGUUUACUGGAUCACAGUGCAAGCAUCAAGUUGGCAAAGUGAAACUUUCAGAUGUGCGAUGCAACCUUUGAGAAAUAUUAGUAUAGCAAAAGAAGGAGAAUCCAGGAAUAUCCACAAUUUGUUGCCUUUCUUGUCAAAAGAAGGAGACAUGGCAUCUCUUUGAAAAGCUAAUAUUAGCUUGCCAGAUCUUUUUGGUCCAUGUGUAAAUAUGUCUAUAUGUGCACAUGUUCAUGUACGGUGUUCUAAAUUACCCACUUAUUCUUCAUUGUGGGGAUACAAGGUCUUCCAAAAAAAAGGGUGUUCAAAAAUAGUGCAGCUACCCAUUUCCAGAGGUGUGGCUUUACCUCUACAUCACUGGACAGAGUUUAAGCAAAAUGAACCUAAAACAAUGAAUACUGAAUCAAAAGCAGGUGAUGCCAGACAAGGAGUCUGAAUUCCCGACAUUUAAGUAUCAGAAACAUCUGUUUCUGUGUGUUGGUAAUUCCACCUUUUUUUCUUAAUGUUUUUAAAGAUGGGAACAAUUUUAUGAAUUAAAAAAAAAAAAAA